AUUGAACGCUGGCGGCAGGCCUAACACAUGCAAGUCGAGCGGCAGCAGGGGGCUUGCCACUGGAUUGCGCGGCGCACGCGGGAGUAAUGUCCAUCAGUAUGCCUGCUAGUGGGGGAUAACGUCCGGCGACGGGCGCUAAUAUAGCGCAUGCGAUGUGCGGGUAAAAGCGGGGUCCUUGGACGCCUCGCGCUAUGAUGAGCCUAGGUCGGAUUAGCUAGUUGGUGGGGUAAAGGCCUACCAAGGCGACGAUCAGUAGCUGGUCUGAGAGGAUGACCAGUCACACUGGGACUGAGACACGGUCCAGACUCCUACGGGAGGCAGCAGUGGGGAAUAUUGGACAAUGGGCGAAAGCCUGAUCCAGCCAUGCCGCGUGUGUGAAGAAGGUCUUCGGAUUGUAAAGCACUUUUGGUUGGGAGGAAGGCCAGGGAGUUAAUACCGUGGGGGGUUGACGUUACCGGCAGAAUAAGCACCGGCUAACUACGUG
rnacentral:rRNA from 1 species